rnacentral:rRNA from 1 species
AACGAACGCUGGCGGCAGGCUUAACACAUGCAAGUCGAACGGAUCCUUCGGGAUUAGUGGCAGACGGGUGAGUAACGCGUGGGAACGUACCCUUUGCUACGGAAUAACUCAGGGAAACUUGAGCUAAUACCGUAUGUGCCCUACGGGGGAAAGAUUUAUCGGCAAAGGAUCGGCCCGCGUUGGAUUAGCUAGUUGGUGGGGUAAUGGCCUACCAAGGCGACGAUCCAUAGCUGGUCUGAGAGGAUGAUCAGCCACACUGGGACUGAGACACGGCCCAGACUCCUACGGGAGGCAGCAGUGGGGAAUAUUGGACAAUGGGCGCAAGCCUGAUCCAGCCAUGCCGCGUGAGUGAUGAAGGUCUUAGGAUUGUAAAGUUCUUUCACCGGUGAAGAUAAUGACGGUAGCCGGAGAAGAAGCCCCGGCUAACUUCGUG